ACAAACAGAAAGUAGAAGUCCGAAUGGCUGGGAAGUACAGUUGUUAAUACCUAUCGUCUCCAACGAUCCGGGCAGCAGAUCUAGACUUGCAGCAGCCGACUAGGUGUCACACCUGCCCAGGGUGUAGGAUGUCUGGGAUGUCUGCUGCAGAGCCCUAGGAAAGGCCCCUCCCCUAGGGAUGCAGCAGGGAGUGCUGAUGAACCCACCCAACCCAGCCCUAUAGAACCGUGCCAGCCAACACCCAGGGCAAGACGCUGGACCUCAGAUGCCUGCUCAACGGAGCCGUCAACCACCUGGAACUCUUGACUGAAGCUCAGGGCAACCACAGCCCCAGCACCCAGAAGACCAAAGAUGACCCCCAGCAGCACGGCCUGGUUCUGGCCUGCAAUGACAACCCG